rnacentral:rRNA from 1 species
GAUGAACGCUGGCGGCGUGCCUAAUACAUGCAAGUCGAGCGAACAGAUAAGGAGCUUGCUCCUUUGAAGUUAGCGGCGGACGGGUGAGUAACACGUGGGUAACCUACCUAUAAGACUGGGAUGACUUCGGGAAACCGGAGCUAAUACCGGAUAACAUUUAGAACCGCAUGGUUCUAAAGUGAAAGAUGGUUUUGCUAUCACUUAUAGAUGGACCCGCGCCGUAUUAGCUAGUUGGUAAGGUAACGGCUUACCAAGGCGACGAUACGUAGCCGACCUGAGAGGGUGAUCGGCCACACUGGAACUGAGACACGGUCCAGACUCCUACGGGAGGCAGCAGUAGGGAAUCUUCCGCAAUGGGCGAAAGCCUGACGGAGCAACGCCGCGUGAGUGAUGAAGGGUUUCGGCUCGUAAAACUCUGUUAUUAGGGAAGAACAAAUGUGUAAGUAACUGUGCACAUCUUGACGGUACCUAAUCAGAAAGCCACGGCUAACUACGUG